AGCAGCCGCGGUAAUUCCAGCUCCAAUAGCGUAUAUUAAAGUUGUUGCAGUUAAAAAGCUCGUAGUUGAAUUUCGGGAUUAGUAAGUUGGUCGUGCCUCUGGUAUGUACUGGCUUUACUGGUUCCUCCUUCUUGAAGAACUGUAAUGUCAUUAAUUUGGUGUUGCAGGGAAACAGGACUGUUACUUUGAAAAAUUAGAGUGUUUAAAGCAGGCUAACGCUUGAAUACAUUAGCAUGGAAUAAUGAAAUAGGACGUUUGAUCCUAUUUUGUUGGUUUCUAGGAUUGACGUAAUGAUUAAUAGGGAUAGUUGGGGGCAUUAGU
rnacentral:rRNA from 1 species